rnacentral:rRNA from 1 species
GUGACUGCGUACCUUUUGUAUAAUGGGUCAGCGACUUAUAUUCUGUAGCAAGGUUAACCGAAUAGGGGAGCCGGAGGGAAACCGAGUCUUAAUUGGGCGUUAAGUUGCAGGGUAUAGACCCGAAACCCGGUGAUCUAGCCAUGGGCAGGUUGAAGGUUGGGUAACACUAACUGGAGGACCGAACCGACUAAUGUUGAAAAAUUAGCGGAUGACCUGUGGCUGGGGGUGAAAGGCCAAUCAAACCGGGAGAUAGCUGGUUCUCCCCGAAAGCUAUUUAGGUAGCGCCUCGUGAAUUCAUCUCCGGGGGUAGAGCACUGUUUCGGCUAGGGGGCCAUCCCGGCUUACCAACCCGAUGCAAACUGCGAAUACCGGAGAAUGUUAUCACGGGAGACACACGGCGGGUGCUAACGUCCGUCGUGAAGAGGGAAACAACCCAGACCGCCAGCUAAGGUCCCAAAGUCAUGGUUAAGUGGGAAACGAUGUGGGAAGGCCCAGACAGCCAGGAUGUUGGCUUAGAAGCAGCCAUCAUUUAAAGAAAGCGUAAUAGCUCACUGGUCGAGUCGGCCUGCGCGGAAGAUGUAACGGGGCUAAACCAUGCACCGAAGCUGCGGCAGCGACACUCAGGUGUUGUUGGGUAGGGGAGCGUUCUGUAAGCCUGCGAAGGUGGCCUGUGAGGGUUGCUGGAGGUAUCAGAAGUGCGAAUGCUGACAUAAGUAACGAUAAAGCGGGUGAAAAGCCCGCUCGCCGGAAGACCAAGGGUUCCUGUCCAACGUUAAUCGGGGCAGGGUGAGUCGACCCCUAAGGCGAGGCCGAAAGGCGUAGUCGAUGGGAAACGGGUUAAUAUUCCCGUACUUGGUGUUACUGCGAAGGGGGGACGGAGAAGGCUAUGUUGGCCGGGCGACGGUUGUCCCGGUUUAAGCGUGUAGGUGUGUGUUCCAGGUAAAUCCGGUUCACUUUAACACUGAGGCGUGACGACGAGGCACUACGGUGCUGAAGCAACAAAUGCCCUGCUUCCAGGAAAAGCCUCUAAGCAUCAGGUAACAUCAAAUCGUACCCCAAACCGA